rnacentral:lncRNA from 1 species
AAAUUGUAAUUAAUAAAUUAAUUUUAUUCUGUCCAACUCAGCGCUUCGUGAGAUAAGAAUUUAGAAAGCGAUAAAUUAUUUAUAGUUUUGACAUCAUUAUUAUUAUUAUUAUUUAUAGGUUUUUUUAGAAUUUUUUGUUUGACAGCUGCCGAGUAACGCGCUACUGAUUUGUUAAAUUUUUUUUGUUGUUAUGAUUAUAUAUAGAAAAUAGAAAGAAACAGUGAAAUGUUUACCAUUUUUUAAGUUUUAUUGAAGACAGUAAACGAUUCAUGGCACUGAGUGUCACGCCCCGGAUUACUCGUUUUUCCGGGCUCGCUAACAGACCCUCCGUAUAUAUAGGUAGUAUAGAGCAGCUAGAAAAAUAAACCAUAAUUGUAAACUGCGGUUCAAUGCAUACAUGUCAUCAGGGUAUACAAAUACUCGCGCUGGCGAGAUAACAACAACUGUAUGUAAAGACCCAAAAACUACAACUACCUAUAGCUGGUGCUCCUCUAGCUCUGCGACUCGACUGGAAGGGCUCUAACUUGCGACGCCCUUGCCACGAUCAAGAUCAGCAACAGCAGCAGCCGAAGACGACGCCUCUGCAAAAACGGUGAUAACAACUGGGCGUGAGAACUACUGCAAAAAUAAGUAGUCCUCAGUGGGUACCGCCCUGAAACUCAUCGGUCCACCCACUAAGUCUACAAGGAUAAGCAGGAAUAGUAAAAAAAGCUGGAAUAAAUCUACAGCUAUAUGCCACUAUACUAUCAUGCUUUAAAUCUAACCAUCUGUAGAACAGUGCCAACUCAGACCCAAUUUCAAGUAAGGACUGUAAUCAUACCCGUUCCUGGGACUGUGAACACACCCGUCCUGCCGGUCACGACUAUACAGCUAUCUCCACACUAACCAGUCCAUGGAGAGCAAGUCCAACCUGUACGAACGACACCAAUGCAAAAGCACUAAGCCCGACUCCGUAGUGGCACUCGUGGGCGCUACCCAAUCGAACAUGCAGCGUAUCUCUGUCGAGCACAAUCAGACUCUAACAAGCCAAAGAUAAGUAGCUAGGGUCAAAACAGAUCUAGAAACUGAACCCACGUGCCCUCGGCACAAUCUGAUACCAAAAACAGGAAUCUGGGUCCACCGUCCACCCCGACGGUACCCGACAAUCCGAAACAGCAUAAAUUCUGCUGUAAAAGUAAGCUCGGCGUCCCAGCACGAGCGUAAAUGCAUUCUAAACUACCCCGGGUAUCCACCACGCUGAAACAGCGGUGACACGAUCAAAUCACGGUUCCUAG